rnacentral:lncRNA from 1 species
CACGCAGGCUCGGGCUCUCCCUUCCCCGGUCUCCGAUUAUGUCACAAUGCGAUGCCACACGGAGUCUCCCUCGUGUUGUCCUCCUCUUCCCUUCUCACCUCCUCCACGCACACGCACACGCACACACGAGACACUCCCUCUUCGAUUCCAUUCAAAAAUUAGGCUGCAGACAGCAGGGCGUUCUCCCCCACUCCAGCUCUCCGGAAGAGUGCGCUCCUGUCUUCGAGAAAGAGAAACAGAGAAAGAGGAACCAAGAACGAGUCACAUGGAGCCCUCUGAUGUGCUGAGGGGAAGCCGGACGACAGGAGGCAUCCGAACUGCACAAGUGGGAGAUCUGCCCAGUUAACAUCCAUGGCAAGAGUGGAAAUAAACGUGCACAACACUGAGAGGAGAAGAGCUCCACAUCCACGAGGAACUGCGUGUGCGGCCCGGAAAUGCUCACAUUGUGGACCAAAACAAAGUACUUAGAAUUUAAGUUCAAAAUCGGAAG